CUUGCCUCCUUGUGCAUGAGCAAAUGCUUUGCUACCUACCAGAAAUGUCUCUUUAUAGUUUUUUUCGAAAGCCAAAGAAAGAGAAGUUAGUCACAUGUUUCGUGAUAUUUCUACCUGUGGCAGAUGGAAGGUUCCUUCAUAUGAGCGUAUGGAUACCAACAACUUGAGGUACUUCUGGAAUCAGCUUCUAAAUACUGACUAAUCUUCUCAGAUUAAUAAACAAGGAAUCCCCCGCUUGUCUGGCCUCUGACGCUGCUGUAACCAGAGCUCCCUGGAGGAAGACGAGGACUCAUUUGGCUAAUGCGCAGAAACACACACGCUCACGGAUAAUUAUGGAGACUUAUUUUUUUUUUCUUCAGAUGGACGAAGUAGUGAGUGUGAUUGGGGCUUGGCCAACUCUUUGCCAAAUCCCCCCCUCACACACACACACACAGAGACACACACACACACACACACACACACUCCGAGUCCAAUCUCCCUCACUCCACCCUACCACACACACACCCUGAGGGGGUAGAGCCUCCAGGAGAGGUGGUCACCAGAGAGCCUUUCUCUGCUGCUGAGGAGUGUGUUCAGGAAGAGAGUGUGUGUGCGUGUGUGCAUGCGUGUGUGCAUGCAUGCAUAUGGGCGUAUAUGUGUGUGUGUGUGUGUGUGUGUGUGUGUGUGUGUGUGUGUGUGUUUUGAGGAGGAGGGAGAUAGAAGCAAUGUUGUUAGUAAUUUUUCUUAUGAAUGCAUGAAUUAGUCACAAGAUUAUACUUUCUGUGGUAGUAAUGCAUAGUCCCAUAAUCCAUAUAUUCCACUGGAAAGUCAUUAACACAUACUUUUGAAGAAUCUUAAAGAAAUGAGGAUGUACAUAAAUUGUGUGACUCUGGAAAGUCAUUAACACAUACUUUUGAAGAAUCUUAAAGAAAUGAGGAUGUACAUAAAUUGUGUGACUCUGUAAGUAAAUUAUUUAGACAACAUAACAAUUUUCUCCAAAAGUUUCCAGUCCUGCCAAAUAUCUGGUUCAGAUUGUUAGUGACUUUGAAUGUGUAUAAACUUUUAUUUGUUGGAAAUUGUUUCUAUAUUGUUCCUGCCAUGUUUGAAUGUAGAAUAGAUAGCAGCAGUUGAGUAGAUUUGUAGUUCUUUGUUUUUUAAUGCAGAAGUAUUAAUCAAAAUCUUUGCUAUAGUAUACCAUUAUUUACAAUUGAAUUACAAACAGAAUUGAACUUCAGAGGAGAACAAAGCAGAGUGUUUAAAACUGAUAAAUAUUGUAUGUUUGAAAG